rnacentral:rRNA from 1 species
GACGAACGCUGGCGGCGUGCCUAAUACAUGCAAGUAGAACGCUGAAGGAGGAGCUUGCUCUUCUGGAUGAGUUGCGAACGGGUGAGUAACGCGUAGGUAACCUGCCUGGUAGCGGGGGAUAACUAUUGGAAACGAUAGCUAAUACCGCAUAACAGUAGAUGUUGCAUGACAUUUACUUAAAAGGUGCAAUUGCAUCACUACCAGAUGGACCUGCGUUGUAUUAGCUAGUUGGUGGGGUAACGGCUCACCAAGGCGACGAUACAUAGCCGACCUGAGAGGGUGAUCGGCCACACUGGGACUGAGACACGGCCCAGACUCCUACGGGAGGCAGCAGUAGGGAAUCUUCGGCAAUAGACGGAAGUCUGACCGAGCAACGCCGCGUGAGUGAAGAAGGUUUUCGGAUCGUAAAGCUCUGUUGUAAGAGAAGAACGAGUGUGAGAGUGGAAAGUUCACACUGUGACGGUAUCUUACCAGAAAGGGACGGCUAGCUACGUG